GCAAGAAGGAACCUCAUGCAACACUAGGCAAGAACCCACAUCACCGCUAUCAUCUGGCGUGAGGGACACAGCGUGUGGAGGGAGCCUCUUUAAGUAGCAGUUUGGAAUCAACCAUAGUUUCCGUACAGUCUCACUGGUGAUCCGUUUGCCAGAGGUGCGCUCUCUCUAAUGCAUGCAGCACAGGGUACAGGAUCUUGGAUCAAGCCCAGCUCUUUCACUCGAAGGUGACUGGCAGCUCUUUGCUGGGGUCAGAGAGAAGGACGGGGCUCGGACUGCUCCUUCCCCGCGAGCGAGCGCCCGGAUUCUGCUCUGGAGCCAUCUGCCAAAAAAAAAAAAAAAAGAAAAGAAAAAGAGGACCUGGGUGUAUUUUGGCCUUUCCAAGGCAGUUCUGAAAACUGCUGGACAAAUGAAGUCUCAGGAAAGCUUUUCUGACAUUAAUAGUAUUUUGUGGCUUCUAUCCUGA
rnacentral:lncRNA from 1 species